rnacentral:rRNA from 1 species
GCGAUCAUACCAACACUAAUGCACCGGAUCCCAUCAGAACUUCGAAGUUAAGUGUGCAUGGGCGAGAGUAGUACUAGGAUGGGUGACCCCCUGGUAAGUCCUCGUGUUGCACAUA